rnacentral:lncRNA from 1 species
CUUACAGUCAACUGUCAGAGCUAUACAAGAAACAAACAACUGGGGCCUGCCCCAUGGCCGAGUGGUUUAAGUUCACGUGCUUCUGCUUUGGCGGCCCAGGCUUUCACAGGUUCGGAUCCUGGGCGCGGACAUGGCAUUGCUCAUUAGCCCACGCUGAGGCAGUGUCCCACAUAGCACAACCAGAGGCACUCGCAACUAGAAUAUACAACUAUGUGCUGGGGAGCUUUGAGGAGAAAGAAAAAAAAAAAGAAGAAGAUUGGCAAAAGUUGUUAGCUCAGAUGCCAAUCUUUAGACGAAAAAAAAGGAAAUUACAAAUUGUUGUACCGGCUGUGAAGAAAAUAAACAGGAUGCUGUAACAGAGGCUAACCUGUGUGUGUGUGUGUAGGUACCUUAAAUAGAGAUGGGGCUCUUCAAGGAGCUAACAUUUAAGCAGUGGACCAAAGGAUGAGAAAAAAAAGAGAGAAGAGAAAGUGUUCCAGACCAGAAGGUCUUGUCUUGUGCUAAGACUCAGAAAUAGGAAAGAGCUUUGCAAAUUAGAGGAAAUGAAAGACGGCCAGAGAGACUGGAGUUUCUUAUGCACCAGGCAGGAUGCCGGGUGCUGGCGAUGCUGUGGCAAACCAGGCAAAACUCUUGGAAUUGACAGUGGAAUGGGGGGAGAAGACAAAAAAUUAUAAGUUAACAACCAAUGCUUUGACCACUCACUAUUUUUUUUGUCUUUGGUAUCUAAUUUAGUGUUCUAUAGUCCACCGCCUCAUUUUUCCAGCCCCAGGUUUCUCAGAGGCAAGUCCUCUCUGUGUCACCACUGUGUCACUCACCCCUCCUAGAAUUCUUGCUCAGUGACAUCUCGCACCCUCCCUUCCUCUCCCACCCCAGGCUGUUGAAGCUCAAAGUUCAGGAGGAACGGGGCAAUUUGGUGUACAAUGCUGACGUGGAGAUAAGUUUUGCUCAUGGGUGCUGAGUUCCUGAGCACAGGAAAUGCAUAAAGAAGAGAUAGAGUUUAUGGCUUCAGUGAGGGGAAAGAUAGAAAGCUUAGAGGCCAAGUAAGAAGCUGACACACCUUUUGAUUUUUCUAGGUCACUACUACUAUAGCCACCACUUGAUUAUUUAAAUUUGCCUGCAGUCGAGUUUGGAUUUGACUGAAACAGAACUGUUCCGAGUGUCAUCUCCUCAUGUUCUCCUGCCCCAGUUGGAUGGGCCAUUUCUGGAGGCUGUCACGGCUGGAGGCCCAGAGUGGAGAAGAACUGCCUGGGAAAGAAGAAUGAGAAGACCAGAUGGGCGGAGAGAGGGCACGAGAAAAGUGAUGGGAGGGGUUUGGAUUUUUUUUUUUUCCUGUAUCAUUGUAAAUAUUUAGUGAUUCUGAAUUAUUACAGGUG